AAAUUGAAGAGUUUGAUCAUGGCUCAGAUUGAACGCUGGCGGCAGGCCUAACACAUGCAAGUCGAGCGGAAACGAGUUAUCAGAACCUUCGGGGGACGAUAACGGCGUCGAGCGGCGGACGGGUGAGUAAUGCCUAGGAAAUUGCCCUGAUGUGGGGGAUAACCAUUGGAAACGAUGGCUAAUACCGCAUGAUGCCUACGGGC
rnacentral:rRNA from 1 species